rnacentral:rRNA from 1 species
GAAUGAACGCUGGCGGCAUGCCUAACACAUGCAAGUCGAACGAAGGCUUCGGCUUCAGUGGCGCACGGGUGCGUAACGCGUGGGAAUCUGCCCUUUGGGUUCGGAAUAACAGUGAGAAAUUACUGCUAAUACCGGAUGAUGUCGCAGACCAAAGAUUUAUCGCCCGAGGAUGAGCCCGCGUAGGAUUAGCUAGUUGGUGGGGUAAAGGCUCACCAAGGCGAGAUCCUUAGCUGGUCUGAGAGGAUGAUCAGCCACACUGGGACUGAGACACGGCCCAGACUCCUACGGGAGGCAGCUAGUGGGGAUAUUGGACAAUGGGCGUAAAGCCUGAUCCAGCAAUGCCGCGUGAGUGAUGAAGGCCUUAGGGUUGUAAAGCUCUUUUACCCGGGAUGAUAUGACAGUACCGGGAGAAUAAGCCCCGGCUAACUCCGUGCCAGCAGCCGCGGUAAUACGGAGGGGGCUAGCGUUAUUCGGAAUUACUGGGCGUAAAGCGCACGUAGGCGGCUUUGUAAGUCAGAGGUGAAAGCCUGGGCUCAACUCCAGAACUGCCUUUGAGACUGCAUCGCUUGA